AUGUCCGGGCGCGGCAAGGGCGGCAAGGGGCUGGGAAAGGGCGGCACCAAGCGCCACCGGAAGGUCCUCCGCGACAACAUCCAGGGCAUCACCAAGCCGGCGAUCCGGAGGCUGGCCAGGAGGGGCGGCGUGAAGCGCAUCUCCGGCCUCAUCUACGAGGAGACCCGCGGCGUCCUCAAGAUCUUCCUCGAGAACGUCAUACGCGACGCCGUCACCUACACCGAGCACGCCCGCCGCAAGACCGUCACCGCCAUGGACGUCGUCUACGCGCUCAAGCGCCAGGGCCGCACCCUCUACGGCUUCGGAGGCUAG
rnacentral:rRNA from 1 species